rnacentral:rRNA from 1 species
UACGGAGGGUGCAAGCGUUAUCCGGAAUCACUGGGUUUAAAGGGUGAGUAGGCGGAGGAAUAAGUCAGAGGUGAAAUGUGCUCGCUUAACGAGUAAAUUGCCUUUGAAACUGUUUUUCUUGAAUCAAGAUGAGGUAUGCGGAAUGAGACAUGUAGCGGUGAAAUGCAUAGAGAUGUCUUAGAACACCAAUUGCGAAGGCAGCGUACUGGACUUGUAUUGACGCUGAGGCACGAAAGCGUGGGGAUCAAACAGG